rnacentral:misc_RNA from 1 species
GGGGAUUUGUAUCCCCAUCACGAAAUGUUGCAGGAGACGUUCGCUCGAUAUUUUUCGCCGUCAUUCCGGGGCGCGCGUUGUCGCGCGAGCCCGGAAUCCACAGCCACAAAUGAGAUUCCCGCAGUGGAUUCCGGGCCUGCGCCAAGCGGCGCAUCCCGAAUGACGGUGGAGCGAUCUUCUCGCCAUCACCACCACGCGCGGUGGUUAUGGGUCCCCGCUUUCGCGGG